CACGUAGGGGGCAAGCGUUGUCCGGAAUCAUUGGGCGUAAAGAGCUCGUAGGCGGCUCAGUAAGUCGGGUGUGAAACCUCCAGGCUCAACCUGGAGACGCCACCCGAUACUGCUGUGGCUAGAGUCCAGUAGGGGAGUGUGGAAUUCCCAGUGUAGCGGUGAAAUGCGCAGAUAUCGGGAGGAACACCAGCGGCGAAGGCGGCACUCUGGGCUGGUACUGACGCUGAGGAGCGAAAGCGUGGGUAGCAAACAGG
rnacentral:rRNA from 1 species